CCAGAAUUGUAACGUUGUUGUCACUUGUGUAGAAAUGAACUCACCGUGUCCCAGAAAUAAUGCUGAAGUCGGCGCAGCGCCUGACUUUCACCGCCAGCCCAUGGAAAAGCGGAGCGGGGGUCAUUCAAAGGCUCUGGAAAAAUAGGUCCGCCGCAGUAGGAAUAUCUCCCUCCUGUAGCCCACCAGGAAGAGGCUUGAGCCGGUCCGAGGUGGGCAACUCAGACCUAACUUGACUCUUGGAUUCCACUUCCUUCCUGAACUGAGUGUAAACAUCCGGCAGCCUGCCAAAACGGAGAUCGUCUCGGUGGUAGAGCGUGGACCCCCAGCAGGUGUGCACUUGGACCUUCAUGCAUGCGCACACGUCCUUGAUGCCUUUCUCCACGGUCAGCUCUUCAGAAGUGACCUGUGAUUGAAGUUGCAAUAUGAAUAAAUACGAUCAUGAUGUG